rnacentral:rRNA from 1 species
UACGGAGGGUGCGAGCGUUGUUCGGAAUUACUGGGCGUAAAGCGCGUGUAGGCGGCCGAUUAAGUCUGGUGUGAAAGCCCGGGGCUCACCCUCGGAAGUGCGCUGGAAACUGGUCGGCUAGAGUAUGGGAGAGGAAAGUGGAAUUCCCAGUGUAGAGGUGAAAUUCGUAGAUAUUGGGAAGAACACCGGUGGCGAAGGCGGCCAUCUGGACCACUACUGACGCUGAGGCGCGAAAGCGUGGGGAGCAAACAGGAUUAGAUACCCUAGUAGU